UACGUAGGCAGCAAGCGUUGUUCGGAGUUACUGGGCGUAAAGAGUGCGUAGGCGGUGCUCUAAGUUUGGUGUGAAAUCUCCCGGCUUAACUGGGAGGGUGCGCCGAAAACUGGAGUGCUUGAGUAUGGGAGAGGCAAGCGGAAUUCCUGGUGUAGCGGUGAAAUGCGUAGAUAUCUGGAGGAACACCGGUGGCGAAGGCGGCAUCCUGGACCGGUAUUGACGCUGAGGCGCGAAAGCCAGGGGAGCAAACGGG
rnacentral:rRNA from 1 species